CCUACGGGUGGCAGCAGUGGGGAAUAUUGCACAAUGGGGGAAACCCUGAUGCAGCGACGCCGCGUGAGUGAAGAAGUAUUUCGGUAUGUAAAGCUCUAUCAGCAGGGAAGAAACCCACCCUCCGGGGUGGCUGACGGUACCUGACUAAGAAGCCCCGGCUAACUACGUGCCAGCAGCCGCGGUAAUACGUAGGGGGCAAGCGUUAUCCGGAUUUACUGGGUGUAAAGGGAGCGUAGGCGGCGAUGCAAGUCAGAAGUGAAAGCCCGGGGCUCAAACCCGGGACUGCUUUUGAAACUGUAAGGCUAGAUUGCAGGAGAGGCAAGUGGAAUUCCUAGUGUAGCGGUGAAAUGCGUAGAUAUUAGGAGGAACACCAGUGGCGAAGGCGGCUUGCUGGACUGUAAAUGACGCUGAGGCUCGAAAGCGUGGGGAGCAAACAGGAUUAGAUACCCUUGUAGUC
rnacentral:rRNA from 1 species